UUGGGUUUAAGGGUCCGUAGGUGGAUAAUUAAGUCAGAGGUGAAAUCCUGCAGCUCAACUGUAGAAUUGCCUUUGAUACUGGUUAUCUUGAGUUAUUAUGAAGUAGUUAGAAUAUGUAGUGUAGCGGUGAAAUGCAUAGAUAUUACAUAGAAUACCAAUUGCGAAGGCAGAUUACUAAUAAUAUACUGACACUGAUGGACGAAAGCGUGGGGAGCGAACAGGAUUAGAUACCCUGGUAGUCCACGCCGUAAACGAUGGWYACUAGCUGUUCGGA
rnacentral:rRNA from 1 species